GGUUAAGCGACUAAGCGUACACGGUGGAUGCCCUGGCAGUCAGAGGCGAUGAAGGACGUGCUAAUCUGCGAUAAGCGUCGGUAAGGUGAUAUGAACCGUUAUAACCGGCGAUUUCCGAAUGGGGAAACCCAGUGUGUUUCGACACACUAUCAUUAACUGAAUCCAUAGGUUAAUGAGGCGAACCGGGGGAACUGAAACAUCUAAGUACCCCGAGGAAAAGAAAUCAACCGAGAUUCCCCCAGUAGCGGCGAGCGAACGGGGAGCAGCCCAGAGCCUGAAUCAGUGUGUGUGUUAGUGGAAGCGUCUGGAAAGGCGCGCGAUACAGGGUGACAGCCCCGUACACAAAAAUGCACAUGCUGUGAGCUCGAUGAGUAGGGCGGGACACGUGGUAUCCUGUCUGAAUAUGGGGGGACCAUCCUCCAAGGCUAAAUACUCCUGACUGACCGAUAGUGAACCAGUACCGUGAGGGAAAGGCGAAAAGAACCCCGGCGAGGGGAGUGAAAAAGAACCUGAAACCGUGUACGUACAAGCAGUGGGAGCACGCUUAGGCGUGUGACUGCGUACCUUUUGUAUAAUGGGUCAGCGACUUAUAUUCUGUAGCAAGGUUAACCGAAUAGGGGAGCCGAAGGGAAACCGAGUCUUAACUGGGCGUUAAGUUGCAGGGUAUAGACCCGAAACCCGGUGAUCUAGCCAUGGGCAGGUUGAAGGUUGGGUAACACUAACUGGAGGACCGAACCGACUAAUGUUGAAAAAUUAGCGGAUGACUUGUGGCUGGGGGUGAAAGGCCAAUCAAACCGGGAGAUAGCUGGUUCUCCCCGAAAGCUAUUUAGGUAGCGCCUCGUGAAUUCAUCUCCGGGGGUAGAGCACUGUUUCGGCAAGGGGGUCAUCCCGACUUACCAACCCGAUGCAAACUGCGAAUACCGGAGAAUGUUAUCACGGGAGACACACGGCGGGUGCUAACGUCCGUCGUGAAGAGGGAAACAACCCAGACCGCCAGCUAAGGUCCCAAAGUCAUGGUUAAGUGGGAAACGAUGUGGGAAGGCCCAGACAGCCAGGAUGUUGGCUUAGAAGCAGCCAUCAUUUAAAGAAAGCGUAAUAGCUCACUGGUCGAGUCGGCCUGCGCGGAAGAUGUAACGGGGCUAAACCAUGCACCGAAGCUGCGGCAGCGACGCUUAUGCGUUGUUGGGUAGGGGAGCGUUCUGUAAGCCUGUGAAGGUGUGCUGUGAGGCAUGCUGGAGGUAUCAGAAGUGCGAAUGCUGACAUAAGUAACGAUAAAGCGGGUGAAAAGCCCGCUCGCCGGAAGACCAAGGGUUCCUGUCCAACGUUAAUCGGGGCAGGGUGAGUCGACCCCUAAGGCGAGGCCGAAAGGCGUAGUCGAUGGGAAACAGGUUAAUAUUCCUGUACUUGGUGUUACUGCGAAGGGGGGACGGAGAAGGCUAUGUUGGCCGGGCGACGGUUGUCCCGGUUUAAGCGUGUAGGCUGGUUUUCCAGGCAAAUCCGGAAAAUCAAGGCUGAGGCGUGAUGACGAGGCACUACGGUGCUGAAGCAACAAAUGCCCUGCUUCCAGGAAAAGCCUCUAAGCAUCAGGUAACAUCAAAUCGUACCCCAAACCGACACAGGUGGUCAGGUAGAGAAUACCAAGGCGCUUGAGAGAACUCGGGUGAAGGAACUAGGCAAAAUGGUGCCGUAACUUCGGGAGAAGGCACGCUGAUA
rnacentral:rRNA from 1 species